rnacentral:rRNA from 1 species
CAGCAGCCACGGUAAUACGGAGGGAGCUAGCGUUGUUCGGAAUUACUGGGCGUAAAGCGCGCGUAGGCGGUUACUCAAGUCAGAGGUGAAAGCCCGGGGCUCAACCCCGGAACUGCCUUUGAAACUAGGUGACUAGAAUCUUGGAGAGGUCAGUGGAAUUCCGAGUGUAGAGGUGAAAUUCGUAGAUAUUCGGAAGAACACCAGUGGCGAAGGCGACUGACUGGACAAGUAUUGACGCUGAGGUGCGAAAGCGUGGGGAGCAAACAGGAUUAGAUACCCGGGUAGUCCCUGUCUCUUAUAC